CAGCUCAGUCGGUAGAGCAUGAGGCUCUUAAUCUCAGGGCCAUAGGUUCAAGCCCCAACAUUGGGCAAAAGA